rnacentral:rRNA from 1 species
CCAAUAGCGUAUAUUAAAGUUGUUGCAGUUAAAAAGCUCGUAGUUGGAUUUCGAGAUCAAUUUGUCGGUCGUGCCUCGGUACGUACUGGCAUUAUUGAUUUCUCCCUUCUGAAGAACCGCGAUGUCAUUAAUUUGGUGUCGUGGGGAAUCAGGACUGUUACUUUGAAAAAAUUAGAGUGUUUAAAGCAGGCGCACGCUUGAAUACAUUAGCAUGGAAUAAUGAAAUAGGACGAUUGCUUCUAUUUUGUUGGUUUCUAGGAUCGACGUAAUGAUUAAUAGGGAUAGUUGGGGGCAUUAGUAUUCAAUUGUCAGAGGUGAAAUUCUUGGAUUUAUUGAAGACUAACUACUGCGAAAGCAUUUGCCAAGGAUGUUUUCAUUAAUCAAGAACGAAAGUUAGGGGAUCGAAGACGAUCAGAUACCGUCGUAGUCUUAACCAUAAACUAUGCCGACUAGGGAUCGGAUGAUGUUAAUUUUUUAAUGACUCAUUCGGCGCCUUACG